rnacentral:rRNA from 1 species
AUGGAACCCUAUGUUGGCAUGAGGUUUGACAGCCUUAAAAUUGCUAAGGAUCACUACAACAGCUAUACCCUACGGAUGGGUUUCUCUGUCAAGAUGAACACCUCUAGGCGGACACCUCACACCAAUGUAUUGGUAAAACAGCAGUUUUGUUGCAACAAGAGGCUGGUCCUAGUAAGAAAAAGAAGAAACGGAAAUGCAAGACAAAUAAAGCAGACUCAAUGCAAGGCAAAAAUGUUGGUGAAGCUGCUAGAUGGACGAUGGGAGGUGACGCACUUUGUUCGUGACCACAACCAUCCGCUGCUCAAAAAACUUAGGCGGAGGCGUACCAUGAAUGCAUAUCGUUUGACACCACCUAUAUGA